AAAUUGAAGAGUUUGAUCAUGGCUCAGAUUGAACGCUGGCGGCAGGCCUAACACAUGCAAGUCGAGCGGUAGCACAGAGAGCUUGCUCUCGGGUGACGAGCGGCGGACGGGUGAGUAAUGUCUGGGAAACUGCCUGAUGGAGGGGGAUAACUACUGGAAACGGUAGCUAAUACCGCAUAACGUCGCAAGACCAAAGUGGGGGACCUUCGGGCCUCAUGCCAUCAGAUGUGCCCAGAUGGGAUUAGCUAGUAGGUGGGGUAACGGCUCACCUAGGCGACGAUCCCUAGCUGGUCUGAGAGGAUGACCAGCCACACUGGAACUGAGACACGGUCCAGACUCCUACGGGAGGCAGCAGUGGGGAAUAUUGCACAAUGGGCGCAAGCCUGAUGCAGCCAUGCCGCGUGUGUGAAGAAGGCCUUCGGGUUGUAAAGCACUUUCAGCGGGGAGGAAGGCGAUAAGGUUAAUAACCUUGUCGAUUGACGUUACCCGCAGAAGAAGCACCGGCUAACUCCGUGCCAGCAGCCGCGGUAAUACGGAGGGUGCAAGCGUUAAUCGGAAUUACUGGGCGUAAAGCGCACGCAGGCGGUCUGUCAAGUCGGAUGUGAAAUCCCGGGCUCAACCUGGGAACUGCAUUCGAAACUGGCAGGCUAGAGUCUUGUAGAGGGGGGUAGAAUUCCAGGUGUAGCGGUGAAAUGCGUAGAGAUCUGGAGGAAUACCGGUGGCGAAGGCGGCCCCCUGGACAAAGACUGACGCUCAGGUGCGAAAGCGUGGGGAGCAAACAGGAUUAGAUACCCUGGUAGUCCACGCCGUAAACGAUGUCGAUUUGGAGGUUGUGCCCUUGAGGCGUGGCUUCCGGAGCUAACGCGUUAAAUCGACCGCCUGGGGAGUACGGCCGCAAGGUUAAAACUCAAAUGAAUUGACGGGGGCCCGCACAAGCGGUGGAGCAUGUGGUUUAAUUCGAUGCAACGCGAAGAACCUUACCUGGUCUUGACAUCCACAGAACUUAGCAGAGAUGCUUUGGUGCCUUCGGGAACUGUGAGACAGGUGCUGCAUGGCUGUCGUCAGCUCGUGUUGUGAAAUGUUGGGUUAAGUCCCGCAACGAGCGCAACCCUUAUCCUUUGUUGCCAGCGGUUCGGCCGGGAACUCAAAGGAGACUGCCAGUGAUAAACUGGAGGAAGGUGGGGAUGACGUCAAGUCAUCAUGGCCCUUACGACCAGGGCUACACACGUGCUACAAUGGCAUAUACAAAGAGAAGCGACCUCGCGAGAGCAAGCGGACCUCAUAAAGUAUGUCGUAGUCCGGAUUGGAGUCUGCAACUCGACUCCAUGAAGUCGGAAUCGCUAGUAAUCGUAGAUCAGAAUGCUACGGUGAAUACGUUCCCGGGCCUUGUACACACCGCCCGUCACACCAUGGGAGUGGGUUGCAAAAGAAGUAGGUAGCUUAACCUUCGGGAGGGCGCUUACCACUUUGUGAUUCAUGACUGGGGUGAAGUCGUAACAAGGUAACCGUAGGGGAACCUGCGGUUGGAUCACCUCCUUA
rnacentral:rRNA from 1 species